GGUCAGGUGUCCGAGUGGCCGAAGGAGCACGCCUGGAAAGCGUGUAUACCGCAAGGUAUCGAGGGUUCGAAUCCCUCCCUGACCGCCA
rnacentral:tRNA from 3 species